UUAUGUUUCUCUUUGUUCUUGAUUCGCUUGAUGUUACUUCUAUGCGUAAUCGAGGUGUUUCAUGGGGUAAUUUGUUUUAAUUUAUAAUUUUAUGCGGGAUUUUGGGAUUUGAACUUAGCCCAGGAUUAGAUACAAAUGUAGUCGAUUAUCAAUUUUUUUGGGAUUUAACUAGAUAAGUCCUUUUCCCCUUAUGGAUAUGAUUAUAAUCAACUAUGCAUGUCUCUUAGUUUCUUUUUGAGUUUCAAAGAGAUAGAACUAUGAGCGUGGAACUCAUUCGGAACUUCACUAGAUAUCUUCACCAUCAACAUGGAUAGCUACAGACAAGUCUUUGAAAGUGGAAAUUGCUCGUGCAUUGUGGGGAAAAAGGGACAACGCUUCAACUAUAAGACGUUCGAGGGGAGCUCAAUUUAUAGAUGUUGAGUCUAGCCAUGUGCUCUAUUUGGAAAGAGUCACUAUUACCGAAGAAACAUUGUCUAAGGAAGCUAGCCUACUAUCCCAAAAGAGAGAGGGAGACGAGAAGAAUGUGAAUGCAAAAGGAAAGUUAAAAGUCCCGAGCUC